GGACCGGGGAAGCCUCUGGAGGGUAUAUCCGGGAAGGCACCAAGGCUGAAAAAGAUGCAGUCUAGCACCUCAGUUAAGAAUAUGGACUCUAAAGUCAGACUGCCAGGCUUCAAAUUCCAGUUCUGCGACCUCAGCAAAGUUACUUAACCAAGCUCUCAGUGCCUUGUUUUCUUCAUCUGUAAAAUGAGGAUGACGUCACAGCAUUGUUGAGAGAAUUAAUACAGGCUCCAGACUUGUGAAUGGAGAAGUGUUGAGGUGACCCCAGCUCCAGCCACCAGCUGACGACAACCAUACCGGAGAUCCUGAGAGCUGCCUAGCUGACCCCAGGCACCCCCCAGACUUCAUGUAAGCUGUUUGAAGCCGAGGACUUUGUCUGUUUUGUUCACUCCCAAUAGAUUCAGCACUUAGAAGAAUGCCAGGCAGGCUUUCCCCACCAACCAAGAUGGAAUAACAGGGAAAAGACAUACCCUUCUAUCUUCAAUAAUUGGAAACCCAGACAAAGUUUAUGAAACGCUGGUUUUCAAGACAUAGGACAUCAGACAAUCAAGGACAGUAAACACUGAGAUGGGAAACAAACAAGGAAGCCAUGAAAACUUCAAAACUGCUUCACCACCUGGAGACCAAGCACCCUGCAUUAAAAGACAAGCCUUUGGAGUUUUUCUAAAGAAAAAACAUGAACACAGAGAACAGAAGUAAUUAUUGAAGGCCACUACUUCAUUAAGUGUGUCUGUACUGAG
rnacentral:lncRNA from 1 species